rnacentral:rRNA from 1 species
CCCUGCAUGAAGUCGGAAUUGCUAGUAAUCGCGGAUCAGCAUGCCGCGGUGAAUACGUUCCCGGGCCUUGUACACACCGCCCGUCACACCAUGGGAGCCGGUAAUACCCGAAGUCAGUAGUCCAACCACGUGAGGACGCUGCCGAAGGUAGGAUUGGCGACUGGGGUGGAAGUCGUAACAAGGUAAC